UACGUAGGGUGCAAGCGUUGUCCGGAAUUAUUGGGCGUAAAGAGCUCGUAGGCGGUUUGUCGCGUCGGGAGUGAAAUCCACUGGCUUAACUGGUGGCUUGCUUUCGAUACGGGCAGACUGGAGGUAUGCAGGGGAGAACGGAAUUCCUGGUGUAGCGGUGAAAUGCGCAGAUAUCAGGAGGAACACCGGUGGCGAAGGCGGCGACCUGGUCCUUGACUGACGCUGAGGCGCGAAAGCGUGGGGAGCAAACAGG
rnacentral:rRNA from 1 species